rnacentral:sRNA from 1 species
CUGUAAGUGAGACUCCAUUUCCAAAAGAAGGAAGAGGAGCGAGAGAAGCGGGAUGAGAUGGAAAGUCGCAGCAGCGGGAAAGAAGGGGAAAGGGGUUUAAAAUGGCCGAGGAGAUGCAGUUGGUUUUUUGUUUGUUUGUUUGGUUGGUUGGUUGUUUUUCUCAAAAUGGAUGUGUGAAUGGCCCAAGCCCAUGACGGGAUAGAUGUUCAGCAUACUGGGAGAGAAAAAUCAAAGUCACGACGAGAUAUGCAUUCUUCACUCAUAUCCCACAGGAAGGCUGGACUGAAGCAAAUGUUAAAGAGGAUGGGAGACCCCGAGUCGCUCCACACCCCUGCUGCUGGUGAUGGAGGCUCAACCAGCCAGGUCUCCUCCAAGUGUCGCCAUGGGACCCGAGGCCACAGAGCAUCGGGGGAGAGUGAAGCACAACGGUCUCGUCAGAGGUGCCAGCCUCUUUAAUGAAGAUGUCUUUUCCUGCUAUAGUUUGGACACAAGCACACAAGUUCACUACGGUGCUGUGAGCAGAACCCAGGGCUUCAUGUCUACUAGGUCUGGCAACCGCAGCUGCUGUGAGUUCCUCAAUGCAGCCUCCCCAUCAUGUUCAGAAGACAGUUUCUCCUCAGUCUCCUAACAUCUGGCUCUUACAAUCUGUCCCCCCCUCUUCUGAGACGAUCCCCGAGCCUUGGGGAGGGUGUGUGAUGGCUACAGCUUUAUGAAUAUAUGGGGACCAAGAGGGCAGCUCCACUGGUGAAGUGGUGAGAGCUGGGCGUGGUUUCAUGCACUUGCCAUUCAGUGCUAGGGAGGCAGAGGUGUGGUAUCCCUGAGGCUCACUCUUCCCCACUAUGUUCUGCCUCUCCACAGGCAUAAAAGCAGUGGAGCCAAUGGGGGACUAUCUAGAUGGAUAGAUCCUGAGAAAUAACCAUGGUUGUUCUCUGGCUGUCACCCUCUUGAACACACACACACACACACGUAUGCACACACACAUGCACAAAUACACAUAGACACAUGC